rnacentral:lncRNA from 7 species
ACAAGUCCUUGGUACGUGAUCUAAGAUCCAACACGACAUGGACGCAGCGAACAGAGGCAAGACCGCGCGAGGGCCGACGAGAAUUGUUCUGCCGGGCCCCUUUCAGCUGUCACAGCUCGCCCCCGGCCGGAGAUCGUGUCGCGACCGCGAGGAGCUGAGGUGGCUUUCUCGCCGCGCGGACGGACGUCCACAGGACCGGCCGUGCACACGCGUGAAUUUUUACCCAGUUGUCAUGCCCAUGUCACGCUUUGCCAAUCAGGGCGGCCGGCUUCUCAUCCAUAUCUGAUCUGCAGGCCAACGUGACAUGCAUCUACACUGGUGAACACAACACGGGAGCCGGCCGGGGCAUGCACGCGUGUAGGCGAGGCUGUGGGGCGGUUGGUGUGGCAACUGGCGACACAUACGGGCGGCGGCCGCAGGCGGACAUAUACACAUAGCCAGCCAGUGUUCCUGCUUUCUAGCUAGUGUCCUAGCGCGCUCGCAUAAUUGCGACGUCGUUUAUAUAUAAUACAUAAUAGUAGGGCGCGCGCGCAUGCAUGCAUACUGGAGAUGUACACUGCUAGUAUAAUACUCAAGCGUGUAUCGGGCUGCAACAAUGAUACAUAAACAAGCAAGCAUGUAUUAUGUGAUUAUUGAAGUACAAAUCGGUAACAUUUAGU